GGACUGCAUGUUCAAUGCAUGAUCAUUUAAUUACAUUAUCUGAUUGGUCAGUUCUUGUGAUUGGUAAUUAAUAUCAUAUUUCUACAUGUGUUCGGACAUGCGGUCAUAAGCCUUUGUUUUGGGAGAGAGAAAAGAUCGUUUAUGAAUUUUAACUGAAAAAGUACUGCAGAAAGGGCUUACCAGACAUUUAUCGAAGAAUCCACAGAUUAUGAGCAAAAAAGCCAAAACAGAAAAGCAAAACAAGAAGAAAUGCUGCUCCACAAAACCUGGCAGAGUAUGUUCAAGAUUUAGUGGAGGAACAAAGUCAAGAGUUACCACCAAUAUACAGGCCACCAGUGCGGAGACGCAAGGCCAGACAAGAAGCUCCUGGAAAUCAGUUGGAUCGUGAAACGAAUACCCAACAGUCAUCUGUUCCAAGCCCAAAUGACAUUGCUGAUGCCUUGUUCGUAAAAAUCCAAAAUUCUGGCAUUCAACUGAUCAAAGACAAUACUGUAGUCCCAAUUAAUGACGUAACUGGUAUGCUGUCGUCAUCUAUACAACCAGAAAAUUCGACAACUACUGACUCCCAGGGACCAAUGUUAGCUGUUUUUCAACCACCAAUUUCCUCUGAUCCUAAUUUCAACACUCCUUCUGAUGGUGAGCUGCUAAACUCAAGUAACUCAAAUAAAGAAAAUCCAUACGCAUGUCAAAUGUUGAGACACACUAUACCUUUAGAUUACCAUGUCAGCAAUAAGGUGAAAUCUGAUGUUUGGUGUGACAAUUAUGUAAAUUUUGCUCUAUUGUUAUCUUCUAAUAUUGAUGAUGAAACAUGUAAUGAAUCAACA